CCUACGGGCGGCAGCAGUGGGGAAUAUUGGACAAUGGGGGCAACCCUGAUCCAGCCAUGCCGCGUGUGUGAAGAAGGCCCUCGGGUUGUAAAGCACUUUCAGUGAGGAAGAACGCCUGGUGGUUAAUACCCAUCGGGAAAGACAUCACUCACAGAAGAAGCACCGGCUAACUCCGUGCCAGCAGCCGCGGUAAUACGGAGGGUGCGAGCGUUAAUCGGAAUUACUGGGCGUAAAGCGCGCGUAGGUGGCUUGAUAAGCCGGUUGUGAAAGCCCCGGGCUCAACCUGGGAACGGCAUCCGGAACUGUCAAGCUAGAGUGCAGGAGAGGAAGGUAGAAUUCCCGGUGUAGCGGUGAAAUGCGUAGAGAUCGGGAGGAAUACCAGUGGCGAAGGCGGCCUUCUGGACUGACACUGACACUGAGGUGCGAAAGCGUGGGUAGCAAACAGGAUUAGAUACCCGUGUAGUC
rnacentral:rRNA from 1 species